CCUACGGGAGGCAGCAGUGAGGAAUAUUGGUCAAUGGACGCAAGUCUGAACCAGCCAUGCCGCGUGCAGGAAGACGGCUCUAUGAGAUGUAAACUGCUUUUGUACGAGGGUAAACUCAGAUACGCGUAUCUUUCUGAAAGUAUCUUACGAAUAAGGAUCGGCUAACUCCGUGCCAGCAGCCGCGGUAAUACGGAGGAUCCAAGCGUUAUCCGGAUUUAUUGGGUUUAAAGGGUGCGUAGGCGGUAGGAUAAGUUAGAGGUGAAAUCCCGGGGCUCAACUUCGGAAUUGCCUCUGAUACUGUAAGGCUAGAGCGUAGUUGCGGUAGGCGGAAUGUAUGGUGUAGCGGUGAAAUGCUUAGAGAUCAUACAGAACACCGAUUGCGAAGGCAGCUUACCAAGCUACUUCUGACGUUGAGGCACGAAAGCGUGGGGAGCAAACAGGAUUAGAUACCCCAGUAGUC
rnacentral:rRNA from 1 species